rnacentral:rRNA from 1 species
UACGUAGGGACCAAGCGUUGUUCGGAUCUACUGGGCGUAAAGGGCGCGUAGGCGGCGUGGUAAGUCACUUGUGAAAUCUCUGAGCUUAACUCAGAACGGCCAAGUGAUACUGCUGUGCUAGAGUGCAGAAGGGGCAAUCGGAAUUCUUGGUGUAGCGGUGAAAUGCGUAGAUAUCAAGAGGAACACCUGAGGUGAAGACGGGUUGCUGGGCUGACACUGACGCUGAGGCGCGAAAGCCAGGGGAGCAAACGGG